CUACGGGUGGCUGCAGUGGGGAAUAUUGGACAAUGGGCGAAAGCCUGAUCCAGCCAUGCCGCGUGUGUGAAGAAGGCCUUCGGGUUGUAAAGCACUUUCAGUGGGGAAGAAAGCCUUGGGGCUAAUACCCUCGAGGAAGGACAUCACCCACAGAAGAAGCACCGGCUAACUCCGUGCCAGCAGCCGCGGUAAUACGGAGGGUGCGAGCGUUAAUCGGAAUUACUGGGCGUAAAGCGCGCGUAGGCGGUCUGAUAAGCCGGUUGUGAAAGCCCCGGGCUCAACCUGGGAACGGCAUCCGGAACUGUCAGGCUAGAGUGCAGGAGAGGAAGGUAGAAUUCCCGGUGUAGCGGUGAAAUGCGUAGAGAUCGGGAGGAAUACCAGUGGCGAAGGCGGCCUUCUGGACUGACACUGACGCUGAGGUGCGAAAGCGUGGGUAGCAAACAGGAUUAGAUACCCCGGUAGU
rnacentral:rRNA from 1 species